GGGUUGUGAGGUUAAGCGACUAAGCGUACACGGUGGAUGCCCUGGCAGUCAGAGGCGAUGAAGGACGUGCUAAUCUGCGAUAAGCGUCGGUGAGGUGAUAUGAACCGUUAUAACCGGCGAUUUCCGAAUGGGGAAACCCAGUGUGUUUCGACACACUAUCAUUAACUGAAUCCAUAGGUUAAUGAGGCGAACCGGGGGAACUGAAACAUCUAAGUACCCCGAGGAAAAGAAAUCAACCGAGAUUCCCCCAGUAGCGGCGAGCGAACGGGGAGGAGCCCAGAGCCUGAAUCAGUGUGUGUGUUAGUGGAAGCGUCUGGAAAGGCGCGCGAUACAGGGUGACAGCCCCGUACACAAAAAUGCACAUAUUGUGAGCUCGAUGAGUAGGGCGGGACACGUGGUAUCCUGUCUGAAUAUGGGGGGACCAUCCUCCAAGGCUAAAUACUCCUGACUGACCGAUAGUGAACCAGUACCGUGAGGGAAAGGCGAAAAGAACCCCGGCGAGGGGAGUGAAAAAGAACCUGAAACCGUGUACGUACAAGCAGUGGGAGCCUCUUAAUGGGGUGACUGCGUACCUUUUGUAUAAUGGGUCAGCGACUUAUAUUCUGUAGCAAGGUUAACCGAAUAGGGGAGCCGAAGGGAAACCGAGUCUUAACUGGGCGUUAAGUUGCAGGGUAUAGACCCGAAACCCGGUGAUCUAGCCAUGGGCAGGUUGAAGGUUGGGUAACACUAACUGGAGGACCGAACCGACUAAUGUUGAAAAAUUAGCGGAUGACUUGUGGCUGGGGGUGAAAGGCCAAUCAAACCGGGAGAUAGCUGGUUCUCCCCGAAAGCUAUUUAGGUAGCGCCUCGUGAAUUCAUCUCCGGGGGUAGAGCACUGUUUCGGCAAGGGGGUCAUCCCGACUUACCAACCCGAUGCAAACUGCGAAUACCGGAGAAUGUUAUCACGGGAGACACACGGCGGGUGCUAACGUCCGUCGUGAAGAGGGAAACAACCCAGACCGCCAGCUAAGGUCCCAAAGUCAUGGUUAAGUGGGAAACGAUGUGGGAAGGCCCAGACAGCCAGGAUGUUGGCUUAGAAGCAGCCAUCAUUUAAAGAAAGCGUAAUAGCUCACUGGUCGAGUCGGCCUGCGCGGAAGAUGUAACGGGGCUAAACCAUGCACCGAAGCUGCGGCAGCGACGCUUAUGCGUUGUUGGGUAGGGGAGCGUUCUGUAAGCCUGUGAAGGUGUGCUGUGAGGCAUGCUGGAGGUAUCAGAAGUGCGAAUGCUGACAUAAGUAACGAUAAAGCGGGUGAAAAGCCCGCUCGCCGGAAGACCAAGGGUUCCUGUCCAACGUUAAUCGGGGCAGGGUGAGUCGACCCCUAAGGCGAGGCCGAAAGGCGUAGUCGAUGGGAAACAGGUUAAUAUUCCUGUACUUGGUGUUACUGCGAAGGGGGGACGGAGAAGGCUAUGUUGGCCGGGCGACGGUUGUCCCGGUUUAAGCGUGUAGGCUGGUUUUCCAGGCAAAUCCGGAAAACCAAGGCUGAGGCGUGAUGAC
rnacentral:rRNA from 1 species